UACGUAGGGUGCAAGCGUUGUCCGGAAUUAUUGGGCGUAAAGAGCUCGUAGGCGGUGUGUCGCGUCGGCCGUGAAAACCUGGGGCUCAACUCUGGGCGUGCGGUCGAUACGGGCAUCACUUGAGUUCGGCAGGGGAGACUGGAAUUUCUGGUGUAGCGGUGAAAUGCGCAGAUAUCAGGAGGAACACCGGUGGCGAAGGCGGGUCUCUGGGCCGAUACUGACGCUGAGGAGCGAAAGCAUGGGUAGCGAACAGG
rnacentral:rRNA from 1 species